rnacentral:rRNA from 1 species
UACGUAGGUGGCAAGCGUUGUCCGGAUUUACUGGGUGUAAAGGGCGUGCAGCCGGGCUGACAAGUCAGAUGUGAAAUCCCGCGGCUCAACCGCGGAACUGCAUUUGAAACUGUCAGUCUUGAGUACCGGAGAGGUCAUCGGAAUUCCUUAUGUAGCGGUGAAAUGCGUAGAUAUAAGGAAGAACACCAGUGGCGAAGGCGGCUUACUGGACGGCAACUGACGCUGAGGCUCGAAAGCGUGGGGAGCAAACAGG